rnacentral:misc_RNA from 1 species
AGAAAAUAGCUAAGGAUAUUGGUGUUCCACCUGAAAAUUGUAAAUCUGAGAAUCAAGAGUCUUGAUAUUGAGCUCUAUUGCUGCAUCUGAACUUUCUCCUGAUAUGUUGCUUGUACUAGAUCCAUCAUUGGAGUACUGAUUUGCCAUAAUACCUCAGCACAGCAAGAUUCUUUUCUUUUUCUCCCCUUUUUAGGUGUGGAGAAUCUGAAAAUGAGGAUGAAGAUUAGAUUGUGAUUUUUUUUAUUUGAUCACCGAAACGAUCACAGUAGGCGGGAUUGAGAGAUGACUUUCGGCCGAAGCUAAAGCUAAGAUCUUUUCUGGAUUCACCGAUGUUCUAGCCUACUUAGCCGGGUUAAGCUUGGGUUUAGAUUCCAGUACAAUCUAGACCAGGAAUCGAUCCAUUGACAGGAGUCAACCGUUUUAUU